rnacentral:rRNA from 1 species
UGCUUCUCACGAAAGUGGCGCACGGGUGCGUAACGCGUAUGCAACCUACCUUAAUCAGGGGGAUAGCCCGAAGAAAUUCGGAUUAACACCGCAUAAAAUCACAGUAUAGCAUUAUACAAUGAUCAAAUAUUUAUAGGAUUAAGAUGGGCAUGCGUGACAUUAGUUAGUUGGCGGGGUAACGGCCCACCAAGACCACGAUGUCUAGGGGAUCUGAGAGGAUGACCCCCCACACUGGUACUGAGACACGGACCAGACUCCUACGGGAGGCAGCAGUAAGGAAUAUUGGUCAAUGGAGGCAACUCUGAACCAGCCAUGCCGCGUGCAGGAAGACAGCCCUCUGGGUCGUAAACUGCUUUUAUUCGGGAAUAAACCUAUCUACGUGUAGAUAGCUGAAUGUACCGAAGGAAUAAGGAUCGGCUAACUCCGUGCCAGCAGCCGCGGUAAUACGGAGGAUCCAAGCGUUAUCCGGAUUUAUUGGGUUUAAAGGGUGCGUAGGCGGCUUAUUAAGUCAGGGGUGAAAGACGGUGGCUCAACCAUCGCAGUGCCUUUGAUACUGAUGAGCUUGAAUAUACUAGAGGUAGGCGGAAUGUGACAAGUAGCGGUGAAAUGCAUAGAUAUGUCACAGAACACCGAUUGCGAAGGCAGCUUACUAUGGUAUUAUUGACGCUGAGGCACGAAAGCGUGGGGAUCAAACAGGAUU